rnacentral:lncRNA from 1 species
UAAUCCAAUUAAAAUUUUAUUAAUUAUAGCAAGUAGAAUAUGAGCAAAAACAGUGCUGGACGACAGGGGAGUCUGCGCUCCGCCAACUGCCGUCCUGAGCAGUUCAAACAGUCCCUUUUUAUACAUCUUUACUUCCGUGUUCAUGAAGUAGUGGAGGUACUCUGCGCAUGCUUCAGUUGUUGUUAGGGGGUCGUUUUCUGCCUCCUGGUGGUCGUUGAGGCCGAAGUAAGAAGUCUUCCUCCUUUGUCCCAUAGUUGACCCCUCAUUCAUAUGUCCUUAUAUGGGGUUGUUUGUCCUGUUUCUGUCGGUUCCUGGAAGUCUGGCGGUUAUCUCGCGAUUGUGGUUAUCUUAUUUUAGUCAAGCGGUGUCUGGUAGCUGUUUGCAUAAGCGAUUUCACAUCUUUUGUUGCCUAACCUUUACAUUGAGCUUAACAUAAAUCUUAAUAAACAAUAUCCUAGUCCAUAGUUUCUCACAAGAUGCCGAAAAUGAAAGUAACGUCUAAUAAACAACAAUAGGAUAAAAAGAAAAAGGGGGGAUUGUGAGAAACUAUGGACUAGGAUAUUGUUUAUUAAGAUUUAUGUUAAGCUCAAUGUAAAGGUUAGGCAACAAAGAUGUGAAAUCGCUUAUGCAAACAGAAACCCAGACACUGCUUGAGUAAGAUAAGAUAACCACAAUCGCGAGAUAACCGCCAGACUUCCAGGAACCGACAGAAACAGGACAAACAACCCCAGAUAAGGACAUGUGAAUGAGGGGUCAACUAUGGGAUAAAGGAGAAAGACUUCUUAUUUCGGCCUCAACGACCACCAGGAGGUAGAAAACGAUCCCCUAACAACAACUGAAGCAUGCGCAGAGUACCUCCACUACUUCAUGAACACGGAAGUAAAGAUGUAUAAAAAGGGACUGUUUGAACUGCUCAGCACGGCAGU